rnacentral:tRNA from 1 species
GACUGGUAGCGCUCCACUUGUAAAGGAGAGGUCCCGGGUUCGAUACCCGGACCAGUCG